ACGAGACAUUUUUUCGAGAUGGAAUUCGAAAAUUGCCUGAAAGGUACAAUCGUUGAAGGAAGCCAGAGUCAAACUCGUUAGACAGAUGCGCAACAAUGCGAACAAUUUUACAAAGUGGAAACAGCCCCGGGAAAAAGAAAUCAACAAAUUAAAGAUUCAAGAUCGCAAGCGUGCUUUCGAAAUGGUACGCUUGAAAAUGCAGCACAAUAAACAGGAGAUCGUCUUCAAGAGGAAAAUGGCGGCAGCGUUCGCCGUUAACAUAAGGGGCUAAAGAUGAAAUGUCGUUUGAUAUAUGACCUUGGCGUCCGCAACGUUGUGAAUUCUGUUCCAUCUUGUACUUGCUCUGGUUUCUGAAAAAGCAAUCUGAUAUAAAAUGUUACAAUAUUGGGCUUAAUGGUCAAGACCGGUAGUGAUAAGACCCCAUUCAAUGGGUACCAAUUAGGAGGAGACUCCGAAAGUCUCAACCCCGAGAGAAUAGAUAUUGGAGAUCCCGGAGUACCCCCGUGCCCUAGAGACGAGUUGCCAAACUUCGUGCUAGCACGGAGUCGUAGCGACCGGACGGCAGUUACCGUGGAAAGGGGUUUACUCAAGGAACAGAAAGACACACAAUUUGGAAAAAUCGCAGCCCGUACACGCUCACUGUUCUGCCGAACAGAGUGCUAUCAGAGACGAGAACAGUCUU